ANGAACNNANNCCUGCNGUCGACGAUUCCUACGGGAGGCAGCAGUGGGGAAUAUUGCACAAUGGGGGAAACCCUGAUGCAGCAACGCCGCGUGAGCGAAGAAGGCCUUCGGGUCGUAAAGCUCUGUCCUAAGGGAAGAAAAAUGACGGUACCUUAGGAGGAAGCCCCGGCUAACUACGUGCCAGCAGCCGCGGUAAUACGUAGGGGGCAAGCGUUAUCCGGAAUCACUGGGCGUAAAGGGUGCGUAGGCGGCUCUUCAAGUCAGGGGUGAAAGGCUACGGCUUAACCGUAGUAAGCCUUUGAAACUGGAGGGCUUGAGUGCAGGAGAGGAGAGUGGAAUUCCUAGUGUAGCGGUGAAAUGCGUAGAUAUUAGGAGGAACACCAGUGGCGAAGGCGACUCUCUGGACUGUAACUGACGCUGAGGCACGAAAGCGUGGGGAGCAAACAGGAUUAGAUACCCUGGUAGUCCACGCUGUAAACGAUGAGUGCUAGGUGUCGGGGGUCAAACCUCGGUGCCGCAGCUAACGCAUUAAGCACUCCGCCUGGGGAGUACGCUCGCAAGAGUGAAACUCAAAGGAAUUGACGG
rnacentral:rRNA from 1 species